rnacentral:rRNA from 1 species
UACGUAGGGGGCAAGCGUUGUCCGGAAUCAUUGGGCGUAAAGAGCGCGUAGGCGGUCCGGUAAGUCCGCUCUGAAAGUCCGGGGCUCAACCCCGGGAGGCGGGCGGAUACUGUCGGGCUAGAGUCCGGAAGAGGCGAGUGGAAUUCCUGGUGUAGCGGUGAAAUGCGUAGAGAUCCGGAAGAACACCGGUGGCGAAGGCGGCCUGCUGGGCAGUUUUGCUGACACUGAGGCGCGACAGCGUGGGGAGCAAACAGG